rnacentral:rRNA from 1 species
GACGAACGCUGGCGGCGUGCUUAACACAUGCAAGUCGAACGGAAAGGCCCUGCUUUUGUGGGGUGCUCGAGUGGCGAACGGGUGAGUAACACGUGAGUAACCUGCCCUUGACUUUGGGAUAACUUCAGGAAACUGGGGCUAAUACCGGAUAGGAGCUCCUGCUGCAUUGUGGGGGUUGGAUAGUUUCGGCGGUUGGGGAUGGACUCGCGGCUUUUCCGCUUGUUGGUUGGGUAGUUGCUUACCAAGGCUUUGACGGGUAGGCGGCCUGGGAGGGUGACCGGAAAGAUGGGGACGGAGAUAGGGCACAGAGGGGAACGGGAGGCAGCAGGGGGGAAUAUUGCACAAUGGGCGGAAGCAGGAUGCAGCAAAGCAGGGUGCGGGAUGACGGCCUUCGGGUUGUAAACCGAAGUGGAAUGAGACGAAGAGUGAGUGACGGUAAUGGGUAAAGAAGCACCGGCUAACUACGUG